GCGGAACGCCUGCGCGAAGUGGCGAGGCCUGAGAAGCUAAGGGAGCGUUUGCCUCUCGUCUUAACCUCCCUGUCACUUUGUCAGACUGGGCUUUUUCUCCUCACUCUUGGAGUACUGUUAGAAAUAGCCAUGCGUAAAGACGAAUUUCGUCUGAAAAUUUUCAUGUGUGUGAUUCAGGCUGGCCGAGUAGUCAGGACCACUCAGCACACAGCUGAGGAAGCAUCAACUUCCAGCAUGAUCAUACCAAAGCUUCAACCAAAGGCAGAUCUCUUGAAGGAAAUAGAAACUGUGGAUGAUCCAAACAUCGUGGGACAUAUCCCUGUUCUUA